rnacentral:rRNA from 1 species
GGAUUAGAUACCCUGGUAGUCCACGCCGUAAACGAUGGGCACUAGGUGUCGGGAUUUAUCUCGGUGCCGGAGCUAACGCAUUAAGUGCCCCGCCUGGGGAGUACGGUCGCAAGAUUGAAACUCAAAGGAAUUGACGGGGGCCCGCACAAGCGGUGGAGCAUGUGGUUUAAUUCGAUGCAACGCGCAGAACCUUACCUAGGCUUGACAUAUAAGUGAUCGACCUGAAAGGGAAGUGGCCGUGGUUUACCACGGAUCUUAUACAGGUGCUGCAUGGCUGUCGUCAGCUCGUGCUG